GAUGAACGCUGGCGGCGUGCCUAAUACAUGCAAGUCGAGCGAACAGACGAGGAGCUUGCUCCUCUGACGUUAGCGGCGGACGGGUGAGUAACACGUGGAUAACCUACCUAUAAGACUGGGAUAACUUCGGGAAACCGGAGCUAAUACCGGAUAAUAUAUUGAACCGCAUGGUUCAAUAGUGAAAGACGGUUUUGCUGUCACUUAUAGAUGGAUCCGCGCCGCAUUAGCUAGUUGGUAAGGUAACGGCUUACCAAGGCGACGAUGCGUAGCCGACCUGAGAGGAUGAUCAGCCACACUGGAACUGAGACACGGUCCAGACUCCUACGGGAGGCAGCAGUAGGGAAUCUUCCGCAAUGGGCGAAAGCCUGACGGAGCAACGCCGCGUGAGUGAUGAAGGUCUUCGGAUCGUAAAACUCUGUUAUUAGGGAAGAACAAAUGUUUAAGAAUCUAUGCACGUCUUGACGGUACCUAAUCAGAAAGCCACGGCUAACUACGUG
rnacentral:rRNA from 1 species